CGCGGCUGCUCCUCGGGGUUAGGCUCAGUCCUGGCCGUCAAGAAAACCAGCACACUGAACGGCCGGUUUCUUUUCCCCCGACCCAUAUUUCAACCGCGACGAAGCGACUGGAUCUUAACACCCAGCCACCCCCGCCUCUCCUGAGUGGUACCGUCAGAAUCCUUCGCAGUCCCCAGCGCGAGGCCUCCCCCCAACACAGCGAGGCAACCGGACCUGCCUGCCGGCUCUGGGCCACCUAGUUGCGGCGGUCUCUGCCUUUCUUUCCCACGCUAAGUCGCGACCUCGUUUCACCACUCAGCGCCGGGACUUCUCGCACGGCACCGCCAUAGGCCGAACCCUCGUAACGAACCUCGCACACUCGGCCCUACCGGGGCUAUCCUCGCCCUCCGCCUCGGCCCUGGUGGCAGCACUGACCAUGGACCUCCCCCCACACUCCCCCAGGACCGUUCCUCCGGCUUGGUUUCCCCCGCAACCAGGGUGGGCCUCUCAGCAACCCCCCCCCGGCGGGCCCCUCGGAAGGGAGCGGCACGAAAGAGAUGGAACACUGCCUGGAUGUGUUCUAAGUAUGCCAGGGAUGAAGGAAUCAAGACCAUAUCCUAAGGACUGGAAGGAUUCCCGUGGCUGGAGGGACGAGUGGAAAAAACGACUUAUGGGCCUACGAACAUUUGGGAUAGCUGUCAUGAAUCCUAGCUGGCCCCCUCCCCAGUCCCUUCAGUUCCCCAGCUUCCCUCUCACGGUCUCUUAAUUUUGAGGCUUCCUGCCCUCUGCUCCCUUGGCUGGGGGAUUUGUCUGGUGAUGAGACAUGGUGUUGACUUUGCCUGAGCCAGCGAUACAAAGCUGGCCCCUGAAGUCUCAAGACCAAGAACAGGUCAGCUACACAAGCACUGGCUGGAAGAAGGCCUGAGAUAAACAUAAACACUAGUUUGAGGCCCCUUAAGGAAGACCACCAUUUAUGUAUCUCCAAAGGAUCCUUUAUUGACGAGAGCAGGACCGUGGCAUUUAUAUAUAUAUAUAAAAAAAUGUUUGAAGA